ACCAGCAUCUUUCAAUGAGCCAAGGACUUCUGUUGGUUACCAAGCCUGAGCGGACUUCUGUUGGUUACCAAGCCUGAGCUGUUAUCUUUGCACUUUUCCUGUCUUUCUUGUGGUUUUCUAAAUUUAGUCCCCAAAGGCAAUAGUUUAUGGCGAAUACCUUUGCCCAUUUGGUCGUAUAAAUAGCAGCUUCCUUAUACUAUAUCUACAAAUCCUCCUUUUCAUAAGAUUUCAGAUGUAUAAUUUAGAUUCUAGAGAUAGAUUUGAUCUUAAUCACUCUUGUUGCAGGUGAUUGCACAUGGUGAGCAAGUAUUUCCGCGAGUGAAGGAGAAAUGUUCUUCAAAAGGUUGGUUUGCCAGCGAUGACAUCACUUCACUUGAAGAGUUAAUUGGUCGACUGAGAAGACUAAAGGAAAAUGUUGGGUUUAUUGCCAAUCGUGUAACAGCAAUUCAGGCAGGUCUUGACAGCUGGCAGUCUGAGCAGAUAAAUAAAAAACUUUACUAUCUUUCCUUCCUCUCCAUCGUCUUUCUUCCCUUGUCAGUAGUAACCGGAGGUGAACUUCUUAAUGAACUUCUUUCAUAAUUCCAAGUCAUGUUUUAUGCCAGCGAUGACAUCAAUUUACUGGAAGAGUUAAUUGGUCGACUGAGAAGACUAAAGGAGAAUGUUGGGUUUAUCGCCAAUCGUGUAACAGCAAUUCAGGCAGGUCUUGACAGUUGGCAGUCUGAGCAGAUAAAUAAAAAACUUUACUACCUUUCCUUCCUCUCCAUCGUCUUUCUUCCCUUGUCAGUAGUAACUGGAGGUGAACUUCUUAAUGAACUUCUUUCAUAAUUCCAAGUCAUGUUUUAUCAUUUAGUAGUUUGAGAAACAUCUGAGAUCACUUAUUUGUC
rnacentral:lncRNA from 1 species